rnacentral:lncRNA from 1 species
GCCAACGUGAUAGUAAUAUACGACCAAAAAAUUUUAAUUUUUGCGGUCGUAUAAAAAGGGACCAAAUAUUAAAAAUCUAAAUACAUGGGUAGAUCGGCAUAUCAAAGAACCCCAAUAAUUCAAUUUUUGAUGAAAUCAUACAAAGUUUAAUUUUGGACCCUUUUGGACCUCAAUGUGGACCAAUUUAAAAAUGCGGCAAAAAAUCCAAAAAUUUAAUACACAGUAAGAUUCAGC